AUACUCUGGUUUCACUUCAGAUUGAAUAAAGCUUUCGCCUUUACUAAAGAUUUCCGUGGAGAGGAACAUCGAUAAGUUUCAAGGAUUUUUAGUUGAGGCUUGCCUCUUGCAGGGCU